GUGAAUCAUCAAAUUUUUGAACGCGAAUUGCGCUUCCUGGCAUCUCGGGAAGUAUGCCUGUUUGAGGGUCAGUAUUAACAAAAAAUCGGGUUGGUGGCAAAUUGUGACGUUUCCGGAGUUUGGGCUAGCUUAGCUUUUUUGGUUAAGGGGCUUAAAAUUGACCUUAUUUGCGCAUUUUUAGACGUACAUAAAUUUUUUUUUUAUUCGUCUAUUCUUAAUGCCAAAAUCUUAUUAGAUGCUGUCACAUCGUGUGGUUGCGUUGCCAUAAAAUUUUCAUGAUUUGACCUCAAAUCAGGUAGGA
rnacentral:misc_RNA from 1 species